ACGCCCAACAGCUAGCCCACCUAAACAAUUUCAACAAACCCCUGUUAAUACCCCCUAAAUACCCUAGUAUUUAAAUUAAACAAACCAUUUUUCCCCCUUAGUAUAGGCGAUAGAAAGGGGCCCACGGCGCAAUAGAGAAAGUACCGCAAGGGAACGCUGAAAGAGAAGUGAAAUAACCCAGUAAAGCCUGAAAAAGCAGAGAUUUAAACUCGUACCUUUUGCAUCAUGAUUUAGCGAGUGUACCUCAAGCAAAGAGCACUUUAGUUUGACGUCCCGAAACUACGUGAGCUACUCCAAGACAGCCUAUUAAUAGGGCGCACCCGUCUCUGUGGCAAAAGAGUGGGGAGAGCUUUGAGUAGAGGUGACAAACCUACCGAACC
rnacentral:rRNA from 1 species